UACGUAGGGACCAAGCGUUGUUCGGAUUUACUGGGCGUAAAGGGCGCGUAGGCGGCAUGACAAGUCACUUGUGAAAUCUCUGGGCUUAACUCAGAACGGCCAAGUGAUACUGUCGCGCUAGAGUGCAGAAAGGGCAAUCGGAAUUCUUGGUGUAGCGGUGAAAUGCGUAGAUAUCGGAAGGAACAUCAGUGGCGAAGGCGACUUCCUGGACCAAUACUGACGCUCAGGUGCGAAAGCGUGGGGAGCAAACAGG
rnacentral:rRNA from 1 species